AGAGAGAGAGAGAGAGAGAGAGAGAGAGAGAGAGAGAGGAGUGGGGCAGGAGUUGUGUAAAAGGGGCUGAAGUCCUGCGCUGCCUUCUCCGCUGCUGCUGCGCGAAAAAGUAGACUCACAACCAGAUAUAUAAAUGCUGCCUAACCGCGUUAUAUCGUGGAUGUAAAACAAACCGGCAGACAGCGACACACCCUGCCGAAGGUCCAGGACUCCGCCGAGCAGUGGGCGAGGCAGCCUGAACUCCGCUGGACCGUUCAGAUGGAUUGUCCGCGUCGGAGCGACCCGGCCGGUGGUCAAGGAAUAUGUGCAUCUAAAGCAGAAGACGGGAAGAGAAGGAGCCAUAAACUGGCAGGGCCGUCACUCCAGCCUGCGUGUUUCAAACUCUCACGCUCAUGGGAUGACUCCCAGCACGCCGGCACCUUCGGCACCAAAUGGCUGACGCACAGCAGUUCUUCACUGGCAAGCUUUAUGUUCCUGUACACAUGCUAAAGCUGCCAGCUGAAGAACUGUUCUGGUCAGCCCUGCCCCGGAUGACUCAAGAAGAGGAAGCAAGGGGGAAGAAGACGGCAGUGUUUCACACACUCAGCAGUCAAGCUGGACUUUAAAAACACGCUGGAUUUGAGCCACUAUUGUUUAUAUUCUUGUGUUAAUCACAUGCAAGGUAUAGUUCAGUUUAGGCAGGACAGAAUAUUUUAUUUUUGUGGUCACAUGUCUUUUUUUCACAGAAAGCUGCUCAAACAGGCUAAAGUGAAAUAUGUCUUUAAAAAGCACUGAUGUCAGUGUCCAAAAGUCUUAGAUUUCAUGUACUAAGGUCUUUAAUAUUUUUCUCUAUUCACUGUAGGUCCUAAUGUUAAUUAUGAAAUGUUUUUCUGUAUGAUUUUGGCAAAAACUGGCUGGAAAGUGCCAUUGUUUCCAAUCUCUGACCAUUAAUUUAUUUAGCAUUCCCUAACUAAUAAUUCUUAUCUAGGACCAUGUCGUAUUUAAUGAUAUUAUGAGGAAAUAUUGUUAUGUAUUGCUGAGAAACACAAACAAAAAUGUGAUUUAGAUGCUGUCAUACUUUGGUCAGUAUUACUGUGAAACUGGUAUCAAAUUGCAUUCUCUGUGGUACUCAAUAGGUCUUAAAAGUCCUAAAUUAAACCUGGUGAACCCUGCAGAAACCUUGUUAAAUUUUGUUGAUGACAUUUUUUUUCUUACAAUAAAGAACUAAAUUUUU